rnacentral:rRNA from 1 species
UUCGUAGGCGGUGUGGCAAGUCGGGAGUGAAAUCUCUGGGCUUAACUCAGAGACUGCUUCCGAAACUGCUGUGCUUGAGUGUGGGAGAGGCGCGUGGAAUUGCAGGUGUAGCGGUGAAAUGCGUAGAUAUCGGGAGGAACACCUGUGGCGAAAGCGGCUCACUGGACCACAACUGACGCUGAGGCGCGAAAGCUAGGGGAGCAAACAGGAUUAGAUACCCUGGUAGUCCUAGCCCUAAACGAUGAUUGCUUGGUGUAGCAGGUACCCAAUCCUGCUGUGCCGCAGCUAACGCGUUAAGCAAUCCGCCUGGGGAGUACGGUCGCAAGGCUGAA